rnacentral:rRNA from 1 species
AACGAACGCUGGCGGCAUGCCUAACACAUGCAAGUCGAACGAGACCUUCGGGUCUAGUGGCGCACGGGUGCGUAACGCGUGGGAACCUGCCUUUAGGUUCGGAAUAACAGUGAGAAAUUACUGCUAAUACCGGAUGAUGUCUUCGGACCAAAGAUUUAUCGCCUUUAGAUGGGCCCGCGUUGGAUUAGCUAGUUGGUGGGGUAAAGGCCUACCAAGGCGACGAUCCAUAGCUGGUCUGAGAGGAUGAUCAGACACACUGGAACUGAGACACGGUCCGAGACUCCUACGGGAGGCAGCAGUGGGGAAUUUUCCGCAAUGGGGCGAAAGCCUGACGGAGCAAUACCGCGUGAGGGAAGAAUGCCUAU